UACGUAGGGGGCAAGCGUUGUCCGGAAUUAUUGGGCGUAAAGAGCGUGUAGGCGGCCAGAUAAGUCCGCUGUGAAAUCUCGAGGCUCAACUUCGAGCUGUCGGUGGAAACUAUCUGGCUAGAGUCCGGAAGAGGAGAAUGGAAUUCCUGGUGUAGCGGUGAAAUGCGCAGAUAUCUGCAGGAACACCCGUGGCGAAAGCGGCGCGCUGGACCACUACUGACGCUGAGGAACGAAAGCUAGGGGAGCAAACAGG
rnacentral:rRNA from 1 species